rnacentral:tRNA from 1 species
GCCGAGAUAGCUCAGUUGGUAGAGCAGUUGUUUUGUAAACAUCAGGUCGUGGGUUCGAAUCCCUCUCUCGGCU